rnacentral:rRNA from 1 species
GUGCCAGCAGCCGCGGUAAGACGUAGGGCGCGAGCGUUGUCCGGAUUUAUUGGGCGUAAAGAGCUCGUAGGCGGCUUGUUGCGUCGUCCGUGAAAACCUGGGGCUCAACUCCAGGCUUGCGGUCGAUACGGGCAGGCUAGAGUUCGGUAGGGGAGACUGGAAUUCCUGGUGUAGCGGUGAAAUGCGCAGAUAUCAGGAGGAACACCGGUGGCGAAGGCGGGUCUCUGGGCCGAUACUGACGCUGAGGAGCGAAAGCGUGGGGAGCGAACAGGAUUAGAUACCCUGGUAGUCC